rnacentral:rRNA from 1 species
CCUACGGGUGGCAGCAGUGAGGAAUAUUGGUCAAUGGCCGCGAGGCUGAACCAGCCAAGCCGCGUGAAGGAGGACGGCGCUACGCGUCGCAGACCUCUUUUGCCGAGGGACAAAAGGACGCACUCGUCCGUUCCUGAGUGUACCCGAAGAAAAAGCAUCGGCUAACUCCGUGCCAGCAGCCGCGGUAAUACGGAGGAUGCGAGCGUUAUCCGGAUUCAUUGGGUUUAAAGGGUGCGCAGGCGGGCCUUUAAGCCGGCGGUGAAAUUUCGGGGCUCAACCGCGCAGAGCCGUUGGAACUGGGGGCCUUGAGUGCGGUGGAGGCAUGCGGAAUGCGUGGUGUAGCGGUGAAAUGCAUAGAUAUCGCGCAGAACCCCGAUUGCGAAGGCAGCGUGCUGUGCCGCCACUGACGCUGAGGCACGAAAGUGUGGGGAUCGAACAGGAUUAGAUACCCUAGUAGUC